rnacentral:lncRNA from 1 species
GGAAGUGGGAGGGAGGGAGCCCUGGGGCAUCCUGGGAAAUGCAGUCCCCGAUCAGGAAUCAGUUUAAACCCCACACUAAUCAGUUAACGAUCUGCAAUUAGAAAGAAAGGUUUUAUAUUUGUCCCUGCAGAGUUUCCAGAUGGAUGCUGGUAUGGGAUGAAAUUGUGUUUUACAGCAGCAAUUAGUUUAUUCCUGGGGCAAACUUCAAAUAGCAAAGGGUUCCUCUGGGUCAUAAAGACAAUCAGGUUCUUCAAAUCACUCUGUCUCAGUUCUGAUUCUUCAAAGCUCAUCCCACCCCAUUUUGUCUCCAACUAUUCAAAUUAUUGGUGA